rnacentral:rRNA from 1 species
GCACCCGCGGUAAUUCCAGCUCCAAUAGCGUAUAUUAAAGUUGUUGCAGUUAAAAAGCUCGUAGUUGGAUUUCUGCGAGGGUGCCAAUGUCCGCCGACGCGCGUGCGCAGCGGCGCCCUCGCAUCCUUCUGUUACCACCUCUCGGCAUUCACUUGCCGGUGGUCGGCUCAGAGAAUUUACCUUGAGAAAAUUAGAGUGUUUCAGGCAGGCUAGGCCGGAAUACAUUAGCAUGGAAUAAUGGAAUAGGACUACGGUCUCGUUGUUGGUUUGAGGGACUGCAGUAAUGAUUAAUAGGGAUAGUUGGGGGCAUUAGUACUUAAUUGUCAGAGGUGAAAUUCUCAGAUUUGUUAAAGACUAACUUACGCGAAAGCAUUUGCCAAGGAUGUUUUCAUUGAUCAAGAACGAAAGU